rfam:Canis lupus familiaris chromosome 9, whole genome shotgun sequence.
GCCUGGGUGGCUCAGCGGUUGAGCGUCUGCCUUUGGCUCAGGACGUGAUCCCGGAGUUGCAGGAUCGAGUCCCGCAUCGGGCU